rnacentral:rRNA from 1 species
AUGGGCUACAUGUCCUCCUCCAGGUUCCAGUCCCAGGUGUUCUUCAUGGAUGGCACGAUCCAUAGCGGUGGGCAACGGGAAUCAUUGUCGCGGCUUUCUAGUCCGGUUCCACACGAUGGAGACUCAUCCAAGCUGAAGCAGCAUAAAUCAGGGAUAGCGUGUCCCAGCAUGUCGUUCAUCCGGUGGUGCGCAAUGAAGACACAACCAUGCUUCAUGAACGGCAGGCCUUCUGUGUCGUGCACGGAAGGUGGCAUCCGCUUCACAAUGGGUAAUACUGUGCAGCAAAUAGUACUACUCCAGUAUAGAGGAAGUAAAAUAACCGGCUUAUUAUAUAUAGCCACUCUUGGCUACAUGGAUAAGAUACCGCCACCUCUCGCCCUCCCGCGAACUCCAUGGCGACUGCGGCCUGAUCUGCAUCCUCGCCGGCCCUGCUGCCUCGCCGCCGCCCUACUGACCCCGUCUACCACGCCGCCGCCCUGGUCUUUAAAUCGCGGCUGCCCCACUUCAACCUGCCCACCGCCAGGUCCAGCACACCGUCGCCACCGGCCGGGAGAGGUAGCUACUCCGUCUCUUCCUCCCCUCUUCCUUCCCCUACCCCCCUCGUUCCUGCCUCGGCCCGGCGAGCCCCUGCUGCGUGGCAACAUCGACGCUGGACCAGAUGGACGAGCUGCAGUGCCAAACUGUUGUUGCGUCUUGGUGAUAAAAGGGUUAACAAUAUCGAGGGAUUUGCAUUUUCCGCAGGUUGCAAUUCGUGUAGCACAAAAUAAGCGGAAGCCGGUUCGGAGCCACCGACAGUGUCUUCCUUGGAUUCAUUCGUGCAAUAAGGAGGGGACCUGGCCUUCUUCACGUGUCGAGCAACAAGAUUACCGUGGCCCGGUGGGUGUCGUGCUCUUCAACCACUUGGAGGUGGACUUCACCGUGAAGCCCGGUGACUACUGCACACAGAUGAUCAUCCAGGUGAUCGCGCCGUUGGAGGGCCAAGGAGCUACAGUUGGAAGUGGAGGGUACUAA